CCCUAAGGCGAGGCAGAAAUGCGUAGUCGAUGGGAAACAGGUUAAUAUUCCUGUACUUGAUUCAAAUGCGAUGUGGGGACGGAGAAGGUUAGGUUGGCAAGCUGUUGGAAUAGCUUGUUUAAGCCGGUAGGUGGAAGACUUAGGCAAAUCCGGGUUUUCUUAACACCGAGAAGUGAUGACGAGUGUCUACGGACACGAAGCAACCGAUACCACGCUUCCAGGAAAAGCCACUAAGCUUCAGUUUGAAUCGAACCGUACCGCAAACCGACACAGGUGGGCAGGAUGAGAAUUCUAAGGCGCUUGAGAGAACUCGGGAGAAGGAACUCGGCAAAUUGAUACCGUAACUUCGGGAGAAGGUAUGCCCUCUAAGGUUAAGGACUUGCUCCGUAAGCCCCGGAGGGUCGCAGAGAAUAGGUGGCUGCGACUGUUUAUUAAAAACACAGCACUCUGCCAACACGAAAGUGGACGUAUAGGGUGUGACGCCUGCCCGGUGCCGGAAGGUUAAUUGAAGAUGUGCAAGCAUCGGAUCGAAGCCCCGGUAAACGGCGGCCGUAACUAUAACGGUCCUAAGGUAGCGAAAUUCCUUGUCGGGUAAGUUCCGACCCGCACGAAUGGCGUAACGAUGGCCACACUGUCUCCUCCCGAGACUCAGCGAAGUUGAAGUGGUUGUGAAGAUGCAAUCUACCCGCUGCUAGACGGAAAGACCCCGUGAACCUUUACUGUAGCUUUGCAUUGGACUUUGAAGUCACUUGUGUAGGAUAGGUGGGAGGCUUGGAAGCAGAGACGCCAGUCUCUGUGGAGUCGUCCUUGAAAUACCACCCUGGUGUCUUUGAGGUUCUAACCCAGACCCGUCAUCCGGGUCGGGGACCGUGCAUGGUAGGCAGUUUGACUGGGGCGGUCUCCUCCCAAAGCGUAACGGAGGAGUUCGAAGGUUACCUAGGUCCGGUCGGAAAUCGGACUGAUAGUGCAAUGGCAAAAGGUAGCUUAACUGCGAGACCGACAAGUCGGGCAGGUGCGAAAGCAGGACAUAGUGAUCCGGUGGUUCUGUAUGGAAGGGCCAUCGCUCAACGGAUAAAAGGUACUCCGGGGAUAACAGGCUGAUUCCGCCCAAGAGUUCAUAUCGACGGCGGAGUUUGGCACCUCGAUGUCGGCUCAUCACAUCCUGGGGCUGUAGUCGGUCCCAAGGGUAUGGCUGUUCGCCAUUUAAAGUGGUACGUGAGCUGGGUUUAAAACGUCGUGAGACAGUUUGGUCCCUAUCUGCAGUGGGCGUUGGAAGUUUGACGGGGGCUGCUCCUAGUACGAGAGGACCGGAGUGGACGAACCUCUGGUGUACCGGUUGUAACGCCAGUUGCAUAGCCGGGUAGCUAAGUUCGGAAGAGAUAAGCGCUGAAAGCAUCUAAGCGCGAAACUCGCCUGAAGAUGAGACUUCCCUUGCGGUUUAACCGCACUAAAGGGUCGUUCGAGACCAGGACGUUGAUAGGUGGGGUGUGGAAGCGCGGUAACGCGUGAAGCUAACCCAUACUAAUUGCCCGUGAGGCUUGACUCU
rnacentral:rRNA from 1 species